GCAACGCGAAUAGCAGCUAUGGGAAGAUGGCGUCCUGCGGUGGCACGAGUUUUCAGCGGAGGGUGCGGAGCCAACGGGUGCCUGGGACUCGGCCGUCGCUGCGGAAUGGGCAGCUGCUAGUGUCGACUGGGGUGCCGUCUCUGGAUCACAUUAUAGGAGGCGGUCUGGCAGUUGGAACUCUUCUUCUUAUUGAGGAGGAUAGCUAUGAAAGUUACUCACGGAUGUUGCUGAAGUAUUUCUUAGCAGAAGGCGUUGUUAGCCGGCAUUCUCUUUUCAUAGCAUCUGCCAAAGAUCAUCCUGAAGAAAUUUUACAGGAGCUUCCUGCACCCUUGCUUGAUGAUGUAAUAGGGACCAAUGAAGCUAUCAGAGAGACAGAAGACAAUUCGGGGAAUAGCAAUAAUUCUACCACUGCUGCCCAGAAUUCCAUGACAAUAGCAUGGCGGUACCAAAACUUACCAAAAGUACAGACAGCCCUGACAUCCUCCUCAAGAUUUGGCCACUAUUAUAAUGUAUCCAAAACAAUGAGUACCGAGCUCCAACAAUCAGUCAAGUGCCAUGGAUUUUUCCUACCUGAUGAAGUUCCAUUGGAUUUAACAGUGAUUGAGUGUGGUAAUAUGAACUUUGGUUAUGUCAGGCUGCUUAAAUCCAUACAAAGAGUCAUCCGUGAGGAAGGAUUUGAUGGAGUCUGUCCCCAGGCUAAGAAGAGGAAUAUCCUGCGGAUAGGAAUCCAUUCGCUUGGCUCACUGUUGUGGGGAGAGGACAUUGGUCUUCAUGAAAAUGCCAAACAUGCUUGCAGUCUGACCAAAUUUUUGUAUGCACUCCGUGGACUUCUCAGAACAUCUCUGUCUGCCUGCAUUAUUACUGUACCGGCAUACCUCAUUCAGAACAAAGCAAUUAUAGGCCGUGUGAUAAAAUUGUCAGACACAGUGAUUGGUCUUGAAUCAUUUAAUGUUUCUGAAAGAGAAAGCAAUCCACUCUAUAAGGACUAUCACGGUUUGCUCCAUGUUCGUCAGAUUCCUCAACUUAAUAGUUUAUUCUGUGAAAUGCCUGAUACAAAGGAUCUUGCUUUCAAACUGAAACGAAAAUUGUUCACUAUUGAGAGACUGCAUUUGCCUCCAGACUUGUCAGACACAGUGAGCCGAUCAAGCAAACAGAAUCUGGCGGAAUCAGCCAAACUGCUGAGCACAGGAUGUGGUGGUGCAGCCAGAGGCAAGGAGCACCUGGACUUCUAGUGACUUUUAUUUAACCAUUUCGUUCUGAAUUCUCAUCAUAUGCAAAGUGUGAUUACAAAUCUUUGAUUCUAGCAAUUGCAGUGUUUUGCUUUUAUGAAUCCAUGAGCUUGAGUCUCAGUAGCCGAAGAGGCCUGAAUGUCAAUGGUUGAAUUGAAAUAAGACCAAGAUUUUGUCGGAGACCAGAUUUGGAGGUGUGCUGGUACUUCAGAAGACUGCAGGCAGUGAUAAACAGAUAGACAGUGCUGAAGGUGUUCUGCGCUUUUGGAGGUAUUAUUUUUCAGAUGCAAUGUUAAACCAAGGUCCAACCAGUUUGCUUGGGUGAAUAUAAAAGAUCCAGUGCCACUAUUUUGAAGAGAAGUAGAGGAAUUAUCCUGGUGUACUCAUCAACGCUUAUCUCUCAAACAACUGUGUAAAACAAAAGACUGAUAGGUCAUUUUUCACAUUGCAGUUUUUAAGAUUUUGCUGAGUGUGAAUUGUCUGCCAUCAUUUCAUUGUUACAACAGUAACAAAUAGAAGUAUUCCUAAAAAUACAUUAAUGACUUGAGGCCGCUUUUAAACUCCCAAUGCAAUAUAAGUGCACUUUUUUUUUUGAUUCCCUGCUAAUAUUUCAAUCAGACACUUUUACAUCUCUGCACCAAGUAACACAUUCCUUAUAUGGAAUCAAACUUCACAAGACCGGCUAGAAACCUUUAAGAUUGAUAAACUAUUUCACUAAAAGAUUAAUCAGUUUCAGGUGAAACUUUUCAUCCAUGUAGUAAUAUGGGUAAAAUGCACAACUGAGGCCGGAGAUCAAUUAAAAUUUCAGAACUGAGACUGUUAGAUUUUUGUGAGACAGAAUGUCUAUUACCGAUAUUUCUAUUUCAUUAUAAUACUUAAUUUCCAAUAAUAGGAGAAAAACAACUAACUAUCCCAUUUAAGUUAAAAAUAAUUAUUUCAUAUUUCUUUUUGAGUUCAUCCCAAAGAGUGUCCUGUUCUCACUGAGAUAGACUGUGGACAUUGAAGUUUUUUUUUGUUAUUUGGGUGUUGGCUCAGAGGGAAGGCAAUUGUGGUUUUGCUUUGGUGCAGACUGCAUCUCACUGGAUUGAGAGACCCACCAAGAGAUGAUCAUUAAUCAGGCCUGAGUUUAAGCAGAAAAAAUGCCUGUAUCAUUCAUAGCACAAAAUGCAGUUGGGGCUCAGUCUCAGUUUGGAUGCCCUGAGGAGAAAUCCAGCUGGAGGAUUUACAAUGUUGGUAGCUCAAAGAACUAAUCCAUAGAGGUCCUCACAGAGCCUUGUGGCAGAAGGUAGUUAGUAAAUUUAGCUUGGAAGCUGUGAGAAGGCAGUUUCAUGCCUGCCAAUUACCUGAAUAAGGAAUUGGGGUAUCUAUGGCCAUGAAGUACAAGAUAAACAUCAGAAGGUCGGUUUACCAGAAAUCUAAUGAAAGGAUCACCGCAAAAUGUUACCUCUGUGAAUGGCUGAGAAAUUAAGACAAAAAUAGAUGAAGCAAAGGAAAAUUAAAGUUGACGUCCAGAGGCUCUAGUAUACCUUGUGAGUUGGUCCCUAAUGGCACGCCAAUCAAGACAAAACAGAACAAUUGUUAAAUUACUGGAGAAUAGCUAUCAAAACCUGAGCUAAAUACAAAUUAAAGUGUGCACUUUUUGACAGAUAGCUGUUAUCCUAAAAUAUAAUUUAACUUUGGUGUCAACACACCAAUCCUUAGGAUGUACAAUACAAUCCUUACACUAUUUCCGUGUCAUUUGAUAAUGUUCUGAAAGUCUAUUAGCAUAACCAUCGUCAACACCAGAGAAACAGUCUCAAACCAAGUAGUGAAGUUACCUAUAAUUUAGAUGUUAAGCAUUUGAACCAAGUUUUUAAAACAUACUGUGAAUAUAAAUUUCACACUUUGUUUGAAAUUCUUUAUUCAAAAUGUUAUUUAAAUCAUUUUAGUGGAAUCAGAAUCAUAUUACCUAAGUAGGGGAUUUUUUAACGUCUAAUCAUAAGGGAUACUGAGAAGUUGAAGCAGGCUAGUGUAGGGGUUCGAUUCAAUAUCCUUUUGAGUAUUGGUCUAUGCAGUACGUACUUGAAUUGUAGUUUUAUUGUGAAGUAGCUAUUUGUUCCUUUGUGAUCAUUCUUUCAAAUAACAUCUAAAAUGCUCGAGAACUACCUGUUCGAAGAUUUUGAUGCCGAAACCAAUAAAUUGACCUGGUGUUUGAAAUGGCCUCUGUUUGACUAUCUCUGUCUUUAUCUCUCCAAUUUCCAACUACGCUUGUGUUCCCUUGCUUCAACUUCGAAAUGAUGUCAUAUGUCCAUGACUUCAACCCAGCGUCAGUGCCAUUCUUCCUUUACAAAAAAAAUAAGAUGCGAAGUUCCUUGCAACUAUAUGUUUUUGAUAAUAAUGGGAACCGUUGGAUAAUGGUUUUCUCGCCAAGUUUCCUGAACAAUAUUUAACUCUCAAUCAACGUUGCUGAAAGAGAUUAGUUGGUCUCAGUGCUGUUUCUGCGACUCUUGAUUUGGGACUACAAAGUUCAAACGCAUUUCAUUGACAGUAAAGCGCUUUGGUUUUUUUUAAUAUUGCAGCAAACAUCUGCCACUUGGAGGGCACACUCGGCAGACAGCUCAUACGUUUGAUUUUACGGUGGCAACGGAGUAGAGGCCUGAACUCCCGAGAACAGUUCUUCCUUUAAUGGUAGGCGAGAGAAGUAUCUACCUUUCUCUGAACUUGAAACAUCUCAUAAAAGGGCAUCAAGAGGUCUGUCCUCCAGCACGGACGUUUUUGAAAUGCGCACUUGUUUUGAAUAAGGCUCCACUUUCAAUUGGAGUGGAGGACAGAUUAAUUCAUGCUUGAUUCCAUUGAGCUGACGUGUCGGCUAAAUUGUACUUGACAUUUACGCGAAUCUGGCACCUGUACUUCCAAUAUAGGAUGUGGUUUCAACAAACGAUGACUAUACUUGUGAGACAUCAAAGCAGGCAGGAUUGAAGAUUAAAUGUUGCCACGUACUAACUUGCAGGUUCAGAGUCCAAGGUGACAGUGCCCCAAGGAAUCUCGCUCGUUUAGACCCAAUUAAAUCAUCGCUCUGGAUUCUUAAACUGCUCAAUACUUCCAAUGAACCAAUGCAUUCCAAGAAUCAGUCGUAUACCAGCAGCGCCAUGAUCUAGCAACGAAGGUUAUGCCACAUGAACUAACUUUUCAAAGGGGAAACAAAACGGUGACUAUCAGUACCAGCGGUUGUGCGAGUAUUUUAAAAUGGUCCAUUUCCCAACAUUCACUCCAUCCUAUUGCAUAACCUAAACCUAAUCUGAUUGAAAGCAAGCCACAUGAAGCCAUCACUCAACUCACAGAGAGCUUCCUGCCCAAAGACGAAUCAAAUGUAUUCAAAAUCGAAACAAAAACUGAAAAUAUUGGAGAUAAUGGGAACUGCAGAUGCUGGAGAAUCCAAG